rnacentral:rRNA from 1 species
GAACGCUGGCGGCAUGCCUUACACAUGCAAGUCGAACGGUAACAGCACUUCGGUGGCUGACGAGUGGCGAACGGGUGAGUAAUACAUCGGAACGUGCCCGAUCGUGGGGGAUAACUACUCGAAAAGAGUGGCUAAUACCCGCAUACGAUCUACCGGAUGAAAGCGGGGGAUUUCGCAAGACCUUCGCGCGGACCGGGAGCGGCCCCGAUGGCAGAUUAGGGUUAGUUUGGUGGGAUAAAAGGCCUUACCAAGGCCCGACGAUUUCUGUAGCUGGUUUCUGAGAGGACGACCCCAGCCCACACCUGGGACUGAGACCCACGGCCCCAGACUCCUACCGGGAGGCAGCCAGUGGGGAAUUUUGGACAAUGGGGGAAACCCUGAUCCAGCCAUGCCGCGUGCAGGAUGAAGGCCUUCGGGUUGUAAACUGCUUUUGUACGGAACGAAAAGACUCUUUCUAAUACAGAGGGUCCAUGACGGUACCGUAAGAAUAAGCACCGGCUAACUACGUGCCAGCAGCCGCGGUAAUACGUAGGGUGCAAGCGUUAAUCGGAAUUACUGGGCGUAAAGCGUGCGCAGGCGGUUAUAUAAGACAGAUGUGAAAUCCCCGGGCUCAACCUGGGAACUGCAUUAGUGACUGUAUAGCUGGAGUGCGGCAGAGGGGGAUGGAAUUCCGCGUGUAGCAGUGAAAUGCGUAGAUAUGCGGAGGAACACCGAUGGCGAAGGCAAUCCCCUGGGCCUGCACUGACGCUCAUGCACGAAAGCGUGGGGAGCAAACAGGAUUAGAUACCCUGGUAGUCCACGCCCUAAACGAUGUCAACUGGUUGUUGGGAAUUUACUUUCUCAGUAACGAAGCUAACGCGUGAAGUUGACCGCCUGGGGAGUACGGCCGCAAGGUUAAAACUCAAA